GCCUAAUGGUUAGAGAGUAACCCGAAGGUGGUGGGUUCGAGUCUCAGCACUGGCAGGAGAUGUAUGUGGGGGGAUUGAAUGAACAGCGCUCUCUUCCACUCACUCUCAUUACCCACAACUGAGGUGCCCUUGAGCAAGGCACCUAACCCACAAUCGCUCCCCGGGCGCUGCAGCAAAAACUGGCUUCCCACUGCUCCAGACCCAGAAGCCCACCCAGAGCCCAAGAAGGUUCUGCACUUCACAGUUUAACAGCUCUUCCAUCACUCAGAGCCGUCAUUACGCCCAGAGUUUAUAAAACUGAGGCGUUGUGUGCUCCAGUUUGUUUUAUUGAUCAUUGUGCGGAGGCGUUGAUUAAGUGAAGUGAGAGUGUGUUUCUAAGGCUGCGGGAGGCAUCUGUCACCUCAUAACUUCACUCAUUUAGUCAAAACAGGCUACCGUCUUCAGACACGCUCUCCUCGACUCCUGCGCGUACCGCAAUCCUCGGGAUCCGGCCCGUGCGCACACCUUCAGUGUUUUACAUCCUUUUAUUUCCCAAGAUUAGAUGGGAUGAAGAACUGAAAAGACCUUUAUGAAGUUCAUCUACAGGGCAUUCUGUCCUCUCAUCCACUUCUUGAUUAUUCUCUCUCCCUCCCUCUCAUUCUCGGGUUACUGACAUUAGGGCUGCGCAUUCCACGCUUGUCUUAAUAAAGUCAAAUCGCAAUAAACCUGAACCAAUUACACGCGCAGCCAGAUGGGCCGACAUCGGCGCGGAGGGGAUCCACCUGGAGGGUGAUGGCAUCCGGUUCUAUGGGGUCACAAUGGAAAGCAUCACCAAAAACCGGGACUUCUACACAUGCUAGCUGUGAAUAGCUACAAGCUAAUAGCGAUUAGCUUUGAAAGUGAAGCGUGAAGAAAAUGUUUGUGUGCCUUUCAGCGAAAAUUGCUCACCCUAAACCUCCACUAGGAAAAAGUCCCAAAUGCCAAAUAAACAAUCAGCACGCUAAACCAAAGUCUGCAAUGGAGGAAACCGAACAUUAAAGGGAUAGUAAUCAUAUUAGAUCACUUAUCUGCCCACCCAGGCUCUCCUGAGACCGGCGAAAGCGUGUGGCACGUCUGCCAACAGGCCCGUAAGGCUCAAUGUGUCCACUUUCAGCCGGUUGUGUGAUUCAGUGUGAUGUAAAGAGACUGACAUCCAAGACAAACAUUUCCCUUCUGAACCAUGUGUUGUUGUAGUUUAGUAUAACAUGAGUUUCACUUGAUCUCGACCAAUGCAAGAUAUUAAUAAGUAAAAGGCUCAUUUAUUAGCUGGCUGACAGAUUUUAUAGACAAAAUACAUUUUCUUAAAGGGAUAGCUCAGCCAAAAAUUAAA